AGCAGGAUCCCGUAAAGGUAACGGACUGGGCUCAUAACCCAGGCAUGUAGGUUCGAAUCCCACUUCUGCUA
rnacentral:tRNA from 1 species